rnacentral:lncRNA from 1 species
GGCGCUGGGGCGCCGGGCAAACUGUUUCAACGUGAGCCCUCCCCUUGGAGCCCAGAGGCCCAGAGGCUGGGGGAGAGGAGCCCGUCUGGGAGGGCCCCGCACGACGCAAGGCGAGUUGGCGUCGGCCUCAAGUGGACACGCUGCUGUUGUGCCCCCGCUCUUGCGCGCCCCGCAGACAUGCACCGGCGGCGGCCGGGCGCGCCCCGGGGCCUCGCCCCCGCGCGGGGACUCUGAGUGCCGCCGCCCCCGUGAGAGCUCCUGGCCGCUGGGGUUCGCAGCACUGCUGCCGCCCACAUCCAGCCAUGCGGCGCUGGGCCUGGGCCGCAGUCCUGGCCCUCCUCUGGCCACAGCUCGCCUUGCUCUGGGGAGUCGGGGCAUGGCGGGAGCCCAAGAGGCUGCGGCAGCCUGGCCAGCGCACAGAGGCCCCCAACGCCACAGCUUCUGACAGUGAAGGUCUGCCUGGCUCUCCCAAGUCGCUGGAGCCCUCAGGGCCUGAGUUCUCGGAUGCUCACAAGACGUGGUUGAACUUUGUCCGACGGCCAGAAGAUGGUUCUUCCAAGAAACGCUGUCGCUGUCAAUGCCAAGACAAGAAGUUGCGAGGCCUCUUGGGUCCCCCGGGGCCCCCUGGACCUCCAGGACCCCCAGGGCCCCCCGGUGUGGAAGUCGCCCCAGCAGCCCUGCUUCAGGAGUUCAAGGACAUGCUGAAGGAGGCCACAGAACGGCGGUUCUCAGCAUGGCCAGACCCGCCACUGUCCCGUGGGGCUGGCCCAUGGCUGAUGGUUGAGGCCUUUCACUGCCGGCUGAAGGGCCCCGUGCUGGUAGACAAGAAGACACUGGUGGAGCUGCAGGGUUUCCAGGCUCCCACUGCCCAGGGUGCUUUCCUGCGGGGGUCUGGCCUGAGCUUGGCCUCGGGCCGAUUCACAGCCCCAGUCUCUGCCAUCUUCCAGUUUUCCGCCAGCCUACACGUGGACCAUAGUGAGCUGCAGGGCAGGGCCCGGCUGCGGGCCCGGGACACUGUGCGUGUCCUCAUCUGCAUCGAGUCCCUGUGUCACCGCCACACGUCCCUGGAGGCCAUCUCAGGCCUGGAGAGCAACAGCAGGGUCUUCACGGCACAGUUGCAAGGGCUGCUGCAGCUGCAGGCUGGGCAGUAUGCCUCCGUGUUUGUGGACAACGGCUCCGGGGUGGUCCUCACCAUCCAGAGUGGCUCCAGCUUCUCUGGGCUGCUUCUGGGUACCUGAGGGUGCAGAGGGAGCACCCUGUCAGGACCUGUGAUUGCCCCUCUGAGGAAGGAGGCGAGAAGACCCCCAGUGGAUUCCUGUGGUCACAGCAAUAAAAGCCCCAGUACUCUGUUGCCCCGG